GGGGAGGUCGCAUAGUGGCCGAGUGCGGCGGUUUGCUAAACCGCUAGGGUGUUACAGCCCUCGUGGGUUCGAAUCCCACCCUCCCCGCCA
rnacentral:tRNA from 1 species